rnacentral:misc_RNA from 1 species
CCUAAGAGAUACGUGUUAUGUGAAGUGCUCACACAGAUUGUCUGAUGAAGAACGAGCAGAGAUACCGGUAUAGGCUUGUAGCUCAGGUGGUUAGAGCGCACCCCUGAUAAGGGUGAGGUCGGUGGUUCAAGUCCACUCAGGCCUACCACUUUUCCUUUAUGCUGUGUUGUGAAGCAACUCGUUUACAUUAAGUAAACUUCGUUACUCCACGCCUUGCCUAAAGAAAAAGCUUCUUAUUAUAAGAAGAAAAAGGAGUGGUUAUACGGGUAUUAAAACAUUAUGGGGCUAUAGCUCAGCUGGGAGAGCGCCUGCCUUGCACGCAGGAGGUCCGCGGUUCGAUCCCGCUUAGCUCCACCAUAAUCUCUUGAAUAUAAAACAAUGAUUCAGAGUAUAUUAGGAAUAGUAUACUGUGAAUUAUUAUGCUCUUUAACAAUCUGGAACAAGCUGAAAAAUUGAAAACAAAUCAAUAUAUCAACGAGGUAUAUUGGUGAGUCUCUCAAAAUCUCAAACCUUAAAGUUUGUCACGCAAAGUUUAUCUUUGAAAAAGACACUUUCGGGUUGUGA